rnacentral:rRNA from 1 species
GAUGAACGCUGGCGGCGUGCCUAAUACAUGCAAGUCGAGCGAACAGAUGAGGAGCUUGCUCCUCUGACGUUAGCGGCGGACGGGUGAGUAACACGUGGAUAACCUACCUAUAAGACUGGGAUAACUUCGGGAAACCGGAGCUAAUACCGGAUAAUAUAUUGAACCGCAUGGUUCAAUAGUGAAAGACGGUUUUGCUGUCACUUAUAGAUGGAUCCGCGCCGUAUUAGCUAGUUGGUAAGGUAACGGCUUACCAAGGCAACGAUGCGUAGCCGACCUGAGAGGGUGGUCGGCCACCUGGGAACUGAGACACGGUCCAGACCCCUACGGGAGGCAGCAGUAGGGAAUCUUCCGCAAUGGGCGAAAGCCUGACGGAGCAACGCCGCGUGAGUGAUGACGGUCUUCGGAUCGUAAAACUCUGUUAUUAGGGAAGAACAAAUGUGUAAGUAACUAUGCACGUCUUGACGGUACCUAAUCAGAAAGCCACGGCUAACUACGUG